UAGGGAAUCUUCGGCAAUGGACGAAAGUCUGACCGAGCAACGCCGCGUGAGUGAAGAAGGUUUUCGGAUCGUAAAACUCUGUUGUUAGAGAAGAACAAGGACGUUAGUAACUGAACGUCCCCUGACGGUAUCUAACCAGAAAGCCACGGCUAACUACGUGCCAGCAGUCGCGGUAAUACGAAGGUGGCAAGCGUUGUCCGGAUUUAUUGGGCGUAAAGCGAGCGCAGGCGGUUUCUUAAGUCUGAUGUGAAAGCCCCCGGCUCAACCGGGGAGGGUCAUUGGAAACUGGGGGACUUGAGUGCAUAAGAGGAGAGUGGAAUUCCAUGUGUAGCGGUGAAAUGCGUAGAUAUAUGGAGGAACACCAGUGGCGAAGGCGGCUCUCUGGUCUGUAACUGACGCUGAGGCUCGAAAGCGUGGGGAGCAAACAGG
rnacentral:rRNA from 1 species